rnacentral:rRNA from 1 species
UUUUUGGAGAGUUUGAUCCUGGCUCAGGACGAACGCUGGCGGCGUGCCUAAUACAUGCAAGUCGAGCGA